GGAGGAGGGGAGGCCGGUCCUUAAAUAGGAGGGGCGAGGUGAGGAUAAGAACAGCGUGGUGACUCACCCCCGGGUGCAGCAAUUGGAGGGGAGGGGAGCUCCCAUGGGCACCGGCCAUGUGGCACUGAUUGCUCUGCAGGCCAACAGGCAAGCUGAAGGUGGAAGGAGGUGUUGGAGGUAUGCCCUAGAGGCAAUCAUAGAGAUGAUGAUAUUCUAUUUGUAUCCCUGAUUUAUAUUGUGUUCGUUGAAUAUCCAUUAAAGGCUACUUGAAUUGAUUUGCAAUUAUGUGAAUUGUGUGUGAAACUCUUUACUUGUAUGGUUAUUCUAAAGUUGUCCCUAGUCGAAGUUCAUGUGAGGACACACA
rnacentral:lncRNA from 1 species